UAUCUCUCCGUACGGGGAAGGAUGAGAAGCUUCGACUAAGGUUCGAUUCGAGCGCAGCGAGAAAGCGUUGCCGCAGGCAACGACCCGAAGGGUGAGGUGCGGAGCGACGAAUAAUCCUUCCCCCACCACCA
rnacentral:sRNA from 1 species